AAUAUAUCCCAAUAGUAGCUAUAUGAGGAAAAUUGAGUGUAUAAAAGGGAGAGGGUUUUGAUGUCUGUUGGGUUCUUUUCUGUGGAGGAUAGGGCAGACCCUUGAUGUGGUUUUCUUGAUUUCUCUAUACAAUCUUGACUGGGUAUUUGAAAGCAUAAUAAACAUAUCUAACAGAGAGGUAGACAAAGCGCGAGAGAGAGAGAGAGAGAGAUACCGCAGCUAUGACUGGCUUUACCGCAGUUGACGAAGAGAAGAGAGGCGAGAGGCUUCGGGUUGUCUCUCAGACACCAAGCGGGAGGCA
rnacentral:misc_RNA from 1 species